rnacentral:lncRNA from 1 species
UUUUAUUAAAUUUAUUCCUAACUACUUAAUACUUGUUGAUACUAUUGUGAAUGGAAUUUUUCUUAGUCUUAUUUUGGGAUUGGCCAUAUUGUGAGCAUACAACAAUACAGUUGAUUUUUUUUUUUUUCUUUCCAUCCAUUCCUUAGGGUUUUCUGCCUAUAAGAUGGUGUCAUUAGUAAACACGGCUUUUAUUUCCUUUUCAAUCUGGGUGACAUUUAUUUCUUCUUCUUGCCUAAUUGCCCUGAUGAGAACCACUAGCACAGUGUUGAAUAGUCAAGUGGCAAGAACAGAUAGCUUUGGGGUGUGGCUGCCUUCCCAGCUGGUUUGCUAGCUGAAGUCUAAGGGCCUGGCUUUUUGAAACCUCUUCCCUGCCUUUGUUUUUGUGUAUUGCUGCUUGACAGGUCUUCUCCAUUUCCCUCCCUUCCUGGGGAUCUGAUGCACGCCUAUCAAUCUCCAGGGUCUUGUGGUUAGCCACCCACACCGCCAGGCUCUGCGGUUCCUGGACUUUGGUAACCGAGCAGCCGGGUGCUUGUCCGGGGCAGUUUUAUUCCAUCGACUGAAGAUUCUCCUCUCUGGCCCCGACUGGCAUCUUCCUCCCGGUUACCACUCGGAUCUCCUGUCAAGGUCACGGUCUUCCCUCUCACCCGUUGGCACUGCCUGAACUCUGAGUCUGCUGUCAUCAACCUCCUUUUGCUCAGAUUCUUUCUGCUCAUCUUCAUCCUUUGUUGCCGCCUUGGCAGUGAUCGCUGAGCCGCUGUCCUGUAGUCGCAGGGCAGCCACGCUCCUUGUCGUGGAGGUGUGCAGGAGGUGUGACCGCCUGGCUCCUGUGGCGGUGGCCACAGCCUCCUCAGCCCCCUCAGCCCCAGUGUGUGGGACGGCGGCUGCCCUGCAUGCUGCCAGCUCCAGACACCAUCAGCCCGCGAACGCGAGCCGCUGCCUGUUGCUGCGACACAGACACAGUUGGCCACCUGCUGCAGUGUAGUGGAGCCUAAGGAUCCAGGCGGUAGCAGAAGCCGGCCAAGCACUCGCUGGGUUGUCCACCUCUUCCUUGAGUUGGUUUCAGUGUUUGUUUUUCUAACAAAUUGUCCCAAAGUUACCCAAUUUGGGAUGUACCGGGGUUUACAGCAUACUCAGUACUUUUUUCAGAUUCUCAUAUUUUCAGUCUCCUCCCUUUAGUGCCCUAGUCAACUGUGUUCAGAGAACCAGCUUUUGGUCACCAUUAAUUUCUUUCUUCCCUUACUGGCUGGUGGGCUGGGGAUCGAACUAGGGCCACACACCUGUUAGGCAGGCGCUCUGCUGCUGAGCUGCAUCCCAGCCCUGGUCUGAUUGAUGUUCUCCAUUGUUUUUCUCAUCUCUAUUUAGUGCAUUUCUGCUCUAUCUGUAUUAUUUCCCUGCCUUCUCACUUUCUUCACCUUUAUUGUGCUUCCUUUUUCAGUAUCUUAAAGUAGAAUACUAGGUGAUCCCUGUGAUGUGACCAAAACAAACAAAACCCUAGAUUUUGAAGGCUUGGUAUUUAAACUAUCUCACUAUUACAUACUGAUUAUAAUUCAUUGCACUUUAUACUUUUUACUGUGGAUACUCUGAGUCAGGAUUUCUUGUGUGCUUUGUAUUGGGCUUCUGUGGGGUGCUGGGCUAAGUUGUAUAGUAGGUACAGAAAGGAUGAGCUGAGCCAGAUCAGGUAGAGUGGCUGUCCCUGUUUAGAGUCUCAUGUUGGAGAGAGAAUUCCUCUCACCACUGCCAGCUGCAGUGAAAUUCAUUCACGGGCUUUUCUCUCCAGGCUAUUACCGGACUGAGACUG